rnacentral:rRNA from 1 species
AAUCCUGAAGAGAUUUUGGGAGUUGCUCGCAAGAGAACCGGAACACAGGUGCUGCAUGGCUGUCGUCAGCUCGUGUCGUGAGAUUGUUGGGUUAAGUCCCGCAACGAGCGCAACCCUUGUCAUUAGUUGCCAUCAUUUGUUGGGCACUCUAAUGAGACUGCCGGUGACAAACCGGAGGAAGGUGGGGAUGACGUCAAGUCCUCAUGGCCCUUAUGGGUAGGGCUUCACACGUCAUACAAUGGUCGGUACAGAGGGUUGCCAACCCGCGAGGGGGAGCUAAUCCCACAAAGCCGAUCGUAGUCCGGAUCGCAGUCUGCAACUCGACUGCGUGAAGUCGGAAUCGCUAGUAAUCGUGGAUCAGCAUGUCACGGUGAAUACGUUCCCGGGUCUU